rnacentral:rRNA from 1 species
AUUGAACGCUGGCGGCAGGCCUAACACAUGCAAGUCGAGCGGAUGAGGAAAGCUUGCUUUUCGAUUCAGCGGCGGACGGGUGAGUAAUGCCUAGGAAUCUGCCUGUUAGUGGGGGAUAACUCCGGGAAACUCGGGCUAAUACCGCAUACGUCCUACGGGAGAAAGUGGGGGAUCUUCGGACCUCACGCUAACAGAUGAGCCUAGGUCGGAUUAGCUAGUAGGUGAGGUAAUGGCUCACCUAGGCGACGAUCCGUAACUGGUCUGAGAGGAUGAUCAGUCACACUGGAACUGAGACACGGUCCAGACUCCUACGGGAGGCAGCAGUGGGGAAUAUUGGACAAUGGGCGAAAGCCUGAUCCAGCCAUGCCGCGUGUGUGAAGAAGGUCUUCGGAUUGUAAAGCACUUUAAGUUGGGAGGAAGGGUAUUCACCUAAUACGUGGGUACUUUGACGUUACCAACAGAAUAAGCACCGGCUAACUCUGUGCCAGCCGCCACAGUAAAAC